rnacentral:rRNA from 1 species
GACGAACGCUAGCGGCAGGCCUAAUACAUGCAAGUCGAACGGUAAGGUCCCUUCGGGGAUACACGAGUGGCGGACGGGUGCGUAACGCGUAUACAACCUACCCUUGAGAGGGGGAUAAUCUGAAGAAAUUCAUUUGUAAUACCCCAUGGUUACUAAAUAGGGCCUCCUAUUAAGUAUAAAGCUCCGGCGCUCAGGGAUGGGUAUGCGUGACAUUAGUUAGAUGGUGAGGUAACGGCUCACCAUGACAAUGAUGUCUAGCUGGUCUGAGAGGAUGAUCAGCCACACGGGCACUGAGACACGGGCCCG